CUAUAAUAAGUAACAUAUUAAUUUUUAUUCUGUUGUGCAUCAUCAUGUACGAGUGUCGUGUGUGUGUUCAUAUAGAAAUACAUCAUCAUGUAUUAUAAUUGUUAUUGAGGAAAACUGUGGGGCUAUUAACAUGAGUUUAAGUGUUACCUGUUGCAAGUAGACCGAUAAAACAUGUGCUGCAAGAAAAAUAAAAAAAUGAAAUUGACUUCUUUAGCAGAUCGUCAGUGAGAUAAGUUUUGGUAUUGCAACUGCAGGAUAUUAACUGGGAACUGAAAGCCAAUGCUCCGGAUCAGGAAUCAUGAAAGCAAAAUUUAUGAAAAGCAAAUGCAUAAAAAUUAAUGAAAAAGUAAUUAAUAAUGAUGAAAUAGUAAUGGAAAUAUUAUAUAAGAGUGAAAAAGGGAAUCAAUGGUUCAUGUGCUCUCACACCACGGACCUACC